CUUUAAGCGCUACAUCCAUUAAAACAAGGAUUGAAAC
rfam:Microscilla marina ATCC 23134 1099589004143, whole genome shotgun sequence.